rnacentral:rRNA from 1 species
AUUGAACGCUGGCGGCAUGCCUUACACAUGCAAGUCGAACAGCAGCACGGGUGCUUGCCCCUGGUGGCGAGUGGCGAACGGGUGAGUAAUACAUCGGAACAUGUCCUGUAGUGGGGGAUAGCCCGGCGAAAGCCGGAUUAAUACCGCAUACGAUCCACGGAUGAAAGCGGGGGACCUUCGGGCCUCGCGCUAUAGGGUUGGCCGAUGGCUGAUUAGCUAGUUGGUGGGGUAAAGGCCUACCAAGGCGACGAUCAGUAGCUGGUCUGAGAGGACGACCAGCCACACUGGGACUGAGACACGGCCCAGACUCCUACGGGAGGCAGCAGUGUGGAAUUUUGGACAAUGGGCGAAAGCCUGAUCCAGCAAUGCCGCGUGUGUGAAGAAGGCCUUCGGGUUGUAAAGCACUUUUGUCCGGAAAGAAAUCCUUGACUCUAAUACAGUCGGGGGAUGACGGUACCGGAAGAAUAAGCACCGGCUAACUACGU